CUGGAGGUAUCAGAAGUGCGAAUGCUGACAUAAGUAACGAUAAAGCGGGUGAAAAGCCCGCUCGCCGGAAGACCAAGGGUUCCUGUCCAACGUUAAUCGGGGCAGGGUGAGUCGACCCCUAAGGCGAGGCCGAAAGGCGUAGUCGAUGGGAAACAGGUUAAUAUUCCUGUACUUGGUGUUACUGCGAAGGGGGGACGGAGAAGGCUAUGUUGGCCGGGCGACGGUUGUCCCGGUUUAAGCGUGUAGGCUGGUUUUCCAGGCAAAUCCGGAAAAUCAAGGCUGAGGCGUGAUGACGAGGCACUACGGUGCUGAAGCAACAAAUGCCCUGCUUCCAGGAAAAGCCUCUAAGCAUCAGGUAACAUCAAAUCGUACCCCAAACCGACACAGGUGGUCAGGUAGAGAAUACCAAGGCGCUUGAGAGAACUCGGGUGAAGGAACUAGGCAAAAUGGUGCCGUAACUUCGGGAGAAGGCACGCUGAUAUGUAGGUGAAGU
rnacentral:rRNA from 1 species